rnacentral:lncRNA from 1 species
CAAGAAUCAAAACUAUUAUACCUCCUUAGAGAGGACAAUUAUUUUUCGCGUUUCAUAUCAUGGUGUUUAGAUCGCAAGAACCACAACUAUUAUACCUCCUUAGAGAGGACAAUUAUUUUUCGCGUUUAUCUACAUGUAAAAGAGGGACGAAAGAUACCAAAGGGACAGUCAAACUCAUAAAUCUAAAACAAACUGACAACGCCAUGGCUAAAAAUGAAAAAAGACAAACAGAAAAACAAUAGUACACAUCACACAACAUAGAAAACUAAAGAAUAAACAAC